CGUUCACUCUUUGGGGAGUAGCCGCCUUUCAGCCUGUUCUGAAAGGGCUUACGUCAACAUUCUUGGCCCUAGCCGGCCAUGGCGUAAGCGGCAUUGCGCUUGGCGAGACCACGGACUUUUCACACGACGCUGGGCGGUGUGAAGGGUCUGUGCCGUUCUCGCCCAGUUGGAC
rnacentral:sRNA from 2 species